UGAAUCUCAAAAUGUUGAGCUGACUAGAGUUUGUGAUAGCCCAUCAAGAAAAUUGGAGGAUGCUUCAAGAAAGAGAAAGAGAAAAAGAAAGAGAAAUAGAAAUAAAAAGAGAAAGAUAGCAGGGACAGAUGAAUAGCUGCUCUCAUUUCACCAACAAGCACGCAUGAAAUUUGAGAAACAUCUUCCUUUGCUAGCAAAAAUUUGUCACUGAAAGGAGAAAAUCGAGGAAGCAUCUAUCCAAUCAGAUAUUCAAAACAAAGAAGAUGAAAUGAGGGAGCAAUUACUCAACAUCAGAGCCAAGUGCGAGGAGCUUUGCAAGUAAGAUCUUGUUUCCUUGAGACUAGAGUGGAAGGGAAUCCUCUUUCUAAUUGCAAGUUUGAUUACUCCAUUAAUUUAUUUUCUUUUUACCAUUUUGUCGAGAAAGGUGCCUGAUAUUGCUAUGAUCGUUCUUCAUUUUUUUGGUUUCUUUAGGCCUCUUCAAUGUCUCUUUCAGUAUAGCUAAACACAAGGUACCUGUUGAUAUCAUUCUCAGAUGGGCAAUGCAUUUAUGGUCUAAGUACCAUUGCUUGUCCUACUACAAAGGUAUCUUGAAGCAACUGGUUCCCACAUCAGAAUUUCCAAAGUCAAAAUGAAAUUUAUUCAUGGUAAUUUGGAAAUGAAUUUUAACCUUUAAGUACUGUUGCUUGUCCUGCUGCAAAGUCCCAAACUCUCUCCCAUGCUGCGAAAAGAUGAUGUAGUAACAACUGAAAUUGGCUGCUCCAUGGUAUUUGAGAAACUAGAGCCAUCAUGCACUUCUAGUUCGCAGGCGUCUGCUGAGCAUAACAUUGCAACAGACCGGGACCACAUUCGGGCUAAGAGAAUGAAGAUCUAAGAGGUGGAUCAAGUAGAAAUGGUUUUGUUUUGCAUCAAAUAUCGGUUCUCAUUUUAUAUCUUUAAUGUGAUGGAAUGAAGAUGAUCCGCACAACAAAUAUAUAUGUCCUUCAGUAGAGAAAGUGGUGCAUUAUGAUGGUCAAUUAGAAAAUCUGCAACAGCUAAGUUUGUUUCUGCCAACAAGCUUCCUUUAGUGACAACUUUUACUAAAGAUACCGCCCCUUCAAUUUUUGCCAGUCCAAUUAAGAAGCAGGUUUUGCAUUUUCGCUACAGCAAUUGAUACGGAUAAGUUGUUCCCAACAUUUCGAGAUGCUGCAAAACUUUUCAAGGGAAAGAAUGAUGCGGAUGUGAGAGUCUUGGUUGGGAACAAUUUUGAUGAAAUCGUUCCAAAUGAGUCAAAAAAUGCGCUUCUUGAGCCCUACCAAUUAUGGAACUAUGGAGAAUACAAAGAAGCUCUGAACGCAUGCCUGUAGACAUGCUCCAUAACAAAUUCAAUCUCGUUGGCGAUAUUUAGAGUUAUAGAUAAGCUUACAAGGUCAAUCUCGUUGUCGAUAUUUAGAGUUAUAGAUAAGCUUACAAAGUCGCUAAGGAGUUGGUCAUCUGUUCAAUCUCGCUCCCAAUUUUAGAUGUAUUAGAAAUUGUCAAAUCUUAGAUAUAUCAGAAUUUAUUGUUGCUUUUUAUUA